GGGGGUAGUUUUUAGUACGUAGGCGCCAUGGAUGACGAAUCUUACAUGCUGCUAGUAAGAACCAGCAGUAUCUCCUGAAGAUUUUCUACUUCC
rfam:Glossina pallidipes unplaced genomic scaffold Scaffold196, whole genome shotgun sequence.